CUCUGUGACUCCUACGGGAGGCAGCAGUGGGGAAUAUUGCACAAUGGGGGAAACCCUGGAUGCAGCCAGUGCCGCGUGUGUGAAGAAGGCCUUCGGGUUGUAAAGCACUUUCAGUAGGGAGGAAGGUAGUGUAGUUAACACCUGCAUUAUUUGACGUUACCUACAGAAGAAGCACCGGCUAACUCCGUGCCAGCAGCCGCGGUAAUACGGAGGGUGCGAGCGUUAAUCGGAAUUACUGGGCGUAAAGCGCAUGCAGGCGGCCUGUUAAGUCAGAUGUGAAAGCCCGGGGCUUAACCUCGGAAUUGCAUUUGAAAACUGGCAGGCUAGAGUCUUGUAGAGGGGGUAGAAUUUCAGGUGUAGCGGUGAAAUGCGUAGAGAUCUGAAGGAAUACCAGUGGCGAAGGCGGCCCCCUGGACAAAGACUGACGCUCAGAUGCGAAAGCGUGGGGAGCAAACAGGAUUAGAUACCCUGGUAG
rnacentral:rRNA from 1 species